rnacentral:rRNA from 1 species
AUACGGAGGGUGCGAGCGUUGUUCGGAAUUACUGGGCGUAAAGGGCGCGUAGGCGGCUUGCCAAGUCAAAUGUGAAAGUCCACGGCUCAACCGUGGAAGUGCAUCUGAAACUGGUAGGCUUGAGUACUGGAGAGGAAAGUGGAAUUCCUGGUGUAGAGGUGAAAUUCGUAGAUAUCAGGAGGAACACCGGUGGCGAAGGCGACUUUCUGGACAGAUACUGACGCUGAGGCGCGAAAGCGUGGGGAGCAAACAGGAUUAGAAACCCGAGUAGUCC